AGAGUUUGAUCAUGGCUCAGAACGAACGCUGGCGGCGUGGAUAAGACAUGCAAGUCGAACGCUGAUUAGAGGGUAGCAAUAUUCUCUAGUCGGAGUGGCGCAAGGGUGCGUAACACGUGGGUAAUCUGCCGUGAAGCCUGGGAUAACUCGCUGAAAGGCGAGCUAAUACCGGAUGAGACUGUUAGGGAGCAUUCUCUGACAUUGGAAGCUGGGGACCGUAAGGCCUGGCACUUCACGAUGAGCCCGCGGCCUAUCAGCUAGUUGGUGAGGUAACGGCUCACCAAGGCUAAGACGGGUAGCUGGUCUGAGAGGACGACCAGCCACACUGGAACUGAGACACGGUCCAGACACCUACGGGUGGCAGCAGUCGAGAAUUUUUCACAAUGGGCGCAAGCCUGAUGGAGCGACGCCGCGUGGGGGAUGAAGGGUUUCGAUCCGUAAACCCCUGUCAUUUGCGAACAAACCUAAGGCAAUAACACUGCCUGAGCUGAUUGUAGCGAAAGAGGAAGGGACGGCUAACUCUGUGCCAGCAGCCGCGGUAAUACAGAGGUCCCAAGCGUUGUUCGGAUUCACUGGGCGUAAAGGGUGCGUAGGUGGCCAGGUAAGUUCGGUGUGAAAGCUCGGAGCUUAACUCCGAAAUGGCAUUGAAUACUAUCUGGCUGGAGGGUCGGAGGGGAGACUGGAGUUCUCGGUGUAGCAGUGAAAUGCGUAGAUAUCGAGAGGAACACCAGUGGCGAAAGCGAGUCUCUGGACGACUCCUGACACUGAGGCACGAAAGCCAGGGGAGCAAACAGGAUUAGAUACCCUGGUAGUCCUGGCUGUAAACGGUGCACGUUUGCUGUAAGAGGAAUCGACCCCUUUUGUGGCGAAGCUAACGCGAUAAACGUGCCGCCUGGGGAGUACGGUCGCAGAUUAAAACUCAAAGAAAUUGACGGGGCCUGCACAAGCGGUGGAGUAUGUGGCUUAAUUCG
rnacentral:rRNA from 1 species